GACGAACGCUGGCGGCGUGCUUAACACAUGCAAGUCGAACGGAAAGGCCCUGCUUUUGUGGGGUGCUCGAGUGGCGAACGGGUGAGUAACACGUGAGUAACCUGCCCUUGACUUUGGGAUAACUUCAGGAAACUGGGGCUAAUACCGGAUAGGAGCUCCUGCUGCAUGGUGGGGGUUGGAAAGUUUCGGCGGUUGGGGAUGGACUCGCGGCUUAUCAGCUUGUUGGUGGGGUAGUGGCUUACCAAGGCUUUGACGGGUAGCCGGCCUGAGAGGGUGACCGGCCACAGUGGGACUGAGAUACGGCCCAGACUGCUACGGGAGGCAGCAGUGGGGAAUAUUGCACAAUGGGCGGAAGCCUGAUGCAGCAACGCCGCGUGCGGGAUGACGGCCUUCGGGUUGUAAACCGCUGUCGCCUGUGACGAAGCGGGAGUGACGGUAAUGGGUAAAGAAGCACCGGCUAACUACGUG
rnacentral:rRNA from 1 species